AGAGCGAACGCUGGCGGCAGGCCUAAUACAUGCAAGUCGAACGAGCCCUUCGGGGCUAGUGGCGGACGGGUGAGUAACACGUGGGAACGUGCCUUUUGGUUCGGAACAACUCAGGGAAACUUGAGCUAAUACCGAAUGUGCCCUUCGGGGGAAAGAUUUAUCGCCAUUAGAGCGGCCCGCGUCUGAUUAGCUAGUUGGUGAGGUAAAGGCCCACCAAGGCUACGAUCAGUAGCUGGUCUGAGAGGAUGAUCAGCCACACUGGGACUGAGACACGGCCCAGACUCCUACGGGAGGCAGCAGUAGGGAAUCUUGCGCAAUGGGCGAAAGCCUGACGCAGCCAUGCCGCGUGAAUGAUGAAGGUCUUAGGAUUGUAAAAUUCUUUCAGCGGGGACAUAAUGACGGUACCCGCAGAAGAACGCCCGGCUAACUCGUGCCAGCAGCCGC
rnacentral:rRNA from 1 species